GCAGUUGAUUAUGAUUGCCAGCAUGACACUGAAGAAUGGUGUCAAAGUAUGAAAAAGAUGGAUCAGAAAAUGAAGCGUGCUUGUAAGAAGAUUCCUGCAACUAGUGACUAGGAAUGGACUUUUCAUAAUUUGGGAAUGGGACUUUAGAUUACAAGGACAAGGCUAUUGUUUCAGACAAUUUUUGCACAUUCAAAAGUUGUCAAUAUGGUAUGCUUGAUUUUUGCUGCACUGAUUGUCGCAUAAUCUCUUAUGCAGCUACAAGAUGCUGGAUAGAUGCUGCUACUUUAGUUGCUACAAUCUGAUUAUUCAAGGUUUCUCUAUCUCUCUCUCUCUCUCUUCUGGAACUUAUUCUUAUCAUGUCUCUAAUUUUAAUCUUGGGUGUUUAUCUCAACGCUCCCAUCCCCUGUGCACAGGGAAAACCCAAAAUCAACUCAGCAGUGCAGUUUAUACAUCAAAUAUUUCAUCAUGUAUACAGGAGUUUUAAUUGAUUCUUGCCUUUGUAUCAAUAAAGAAGGCUUAUUUUUCUGAAUUAUUUUGUGCUUUAUGGUGUAAUCUAGUAAUCUCAACCAUUUUCUACGUUCCUCAUCUGAUUAGUGUUUCUGGGGUAGACAAACAACUAAUAAUCACCUAGAGAAUUGCUUUACCCUUGAUUGCAUUUGCCUUUCACUAUAUUUAUGUGUGAGCAUGUCCUGAUAUGUGACCAACAAAGUUUUAUAGAUGACCUAGCAAUGUGGAUCUUGCCUAAACAGGUUGUAUAUGGUUUCAUGAAAUCAUUAUCGUAAAUAAAUAUUAGUUAAAAGCAUAAGUGAAGAUCUGCAAUGGUGAAUAUAGCACAAUCAUCUUUUCACUUUGGAAAUCAUGUUUUGAAGUAAUCCCAUUUUUAAUAUUUCCCCUAAGACUGAUGUUAAUAUGAUUAAUUACGAAAGGACACGGACUAACAGCUUGUUCAUUACAUUUAAACACCCAAAUACUUAUGCUCUGCCAAAGAAAUAAUUUGUACAGUAGAACCAAGGGAUUUUGCCCUUCCCUUGCUGGAAUGCUGUACCAAUUUCUGAUAGCAUUUUAGUUUUUAUAAAUUUGUUCUCCUUGCAACAUGAACUUCUAUUUAUGUUAAAAAAAAAUUAAUUCUAGUUUAAUCUUUUAAAUUGAGAAGAUAUUUUGAAAGCCUUGUAUGCUCCUGUGAUAUUAUGUUUUGUGUUUACCCAUGGUGUUACAAAGGUCGGCUGAGCAUGCUCUUCCCGCGGAACAUAACAUUUGGAGGGCUUUGAUUCUGUAUGUUGGAGCUGGUGCACUUCAAGAGGCAUUAGCAUCACUUCAUAGGGCACAACAACCAGACACAGCGGCCAUGUUCUUCCUUGCUUGUCAUGAAAAGCAUGCAGAAAUAGUUGCUGAUUUAGGAGAUUUAGAUGAUGAAUCUAGUUCUUCUGUGAAGGAUUAGCUGUGUAACUUGCUUGGGUUGGACCCAUAGAAUGAAGAUGUAAUUGCAGUAGAUGAAUGUUAUGGGCAAUAUCAAAGAAAAUUGCCUCUGUGCAUGGACUCAACCAUUCUCUGACUGAAAUUACUGGGCUCAGUCAUAUCAUAUGCAAGUGUUUUUACAGUGAAAAUUGGCAAAUAUCUUCUGGAUUCAUUAUCAAAAGAUGACUGAGUAAUAUAAUAGGCAGUUGGUAGUGGAUGAUCUUGAGCGGCUCGAGAGAAGGGAUUUACCAGUCCGCAUAAACACGGAAUUGGAUUGGAUGACGAAAAUUUAGUUUACUGGUUUUUGGCAAAGUUGCCUGUAGAUAAACAUUACAGGAAGGUUGAUUAUAGUGUUGUAACUAAUGUAGAAAAUUUUGUCAGCAAGAACAUUCACAUGCACCAUAUAAUUGGUAGGAAUGAUAUCAGUUCUUAGAGAAAGAAUCAAUGUUAUUCCUUGAUUUUGUACAACACUACAUUAAAUCAUAUUCUUAUUUGUUGUCACCUCCUUCUGGCAGUUUUGCAAAGAUGAUAUCUGGAGUUCUGGACU